rnacentral:rRNA from 1 species
CCACGGGUGGCUGCAGUGGGGAAUAUUGGACAAUGGGCGAAAGCCUGAUCCAGCCAUGCCGCGUGUGUGAAGAAGGCCUUCGGGUUGUAAAGCACUUUCAGUGGGGAAGAAAGCCUUGGGGCUAAUACCCUCGAGGAAGGACAUCACCCACAGAAGAAGCACCGGCUAACUCCGUGCCAGCAGCCGCGGUAAUACGGAGGGUGCGAGCGUUAAUCGGAAUUACUGGGCGUAAAGCGCGCGUAGGCGGUCUGAUAAGCCGGUUGUGAAAGCCCCGGGCUCAACCUGGGAACGGCAUCCGGAACUGUCAGGCUAGAGUGCAGGAGAGGAAGGUAGAAUUCCCGGUGUAGCGGUGAAAUGCGUAGAGAUCGGGAGGAAUACCAGUGGCGAAGGCGGCCUUCUGGACUGACACUGACGCUGGGUGCGAAAGCGUGGGUAGCAAACAGGAUUAGAUACCCUAGUAGUC